rnacentral:tRNA from 1 species
GGGGAUAUAGCUCAGUGGUAGAGCACACACUUCACAUGUGUGAGAUUUGAUCCUCG